AGUCGUAACAAGGUAUCCGUAGGUGAACCUGCGGAUGGAUCAUUAACAAAGGUGUUUUUGAAGUUAUGUGAACAGUUUUGGUGGUUGUGGGAGUGGUGGAUGGUUGUGGGGGGUGGUUGGAGUGGUGGGAGUGGUUAGAUCAAAUCAAACCACACCAAACACACCACACCACACCAAUCACACCCCACUCUCCUCACCCACAUCACCACUCCCAACUUUAAUGUACAAACUGAUGUCUGCCUAGUUUUCUAAACUAAAACAACUUUUAGCAACGGAUAUCUUGGUUCCC
rnacentral:misc_RNA from 1 species